GGCUGCACUACUUACCCGUGUGUGAUGGGUUGGCAGUGUAUUGUUAGCUGGUUGAAUAUAUGAAUGGCAUCAGCUAACAUGCAACUGCUAUCUUAUUGCAUAUACAAUGAACAUCAGUGUAU
rnacentral:pre_miRNA from 12 species